CGUGGCGAAGAUCUGUAAUCUUUGCUACAUUCGGCGGCUUGUGCGGGGGAGCAGCACGGAGGCGUCGCUGCUGUCGCUGCUGGACGUGCUUGUGAAGGCGUGCACGCAAGCGGAGGCGCUGUACAAAAAGGGC
rnacentral:SRP_RNA from 1 species